GCGGACGUCGUGCGUGGUGCACCGCUGCUUCCUGUUACCAGCAUCAAUACAAAGAUCAUUAAGCAUCCCAGCAGUCGCCGAAUGGGUUCGACUCCCAGCGUCCGCA